rnacentral:rRNA from 1 species
AGGAUGAACGCUGGCGGCGUGCCUAAUACAUGCAAGUCGAGCGGUAAGGCCACUUCGGUGGUACACGAGCGGCGGACGGCUGAGUAACACGUAGGAACGUACCCCAAAGUGAGGCAUAAGCACCAGAAAUGGUGUCUAAUACCGCAUGUGGCCUAACAGGCUAAAGCUCCGGCGCUUUGGGAACGGCCUGCGCAUGAUUAGCUUGUUGGUGAGGUAAAAGCUCACCAAGGCAGUGAUCAUUAGCUGGUCUGAGAGGAUGACCAGCCAGACUGGGACUGAGAACGGCCCAGACUCCUACGGGAGGCAGCAGUAGGGAAUUUUCCACAAUGGGCGCAAGCCUGAUGCAGCGACGCCGCGUGGGGAUGAAGGCCUUCGGGUUGUAAACCCCUUUCACCAGGAGCGAAUUCAGACGGUACCGUGGGGAAGAAGCGCCGGCUAACUACGUGCCAGCAGCCGC